rnacentral:rRNA from 1 species
CAGCUACAACGCGGCAGGCUUGGUGGUUGACCUGGAGUGCACUCCGCUCGGUUUACAACCUGGGCAGCCUGCCCGUUGUGAGUUUGGGUUUGGGAGCGGAUCCUGCAAGAUCUUUCGAAGCCGUCGGUACCUGCCUAAGGGGAGUAAGGGGUCCAGACGCCUCCCGAGACCAACAAGGCAGGUCGACCACCACCUUCUACGGCCCUACCUCAAGGACGAACUACGGCAGCUGAUCAAGGGCGAGAGCCCUCCUCAAGCGCCUGUCGAACCUUGUAGGUCUAGACCAAGGAGACCACCACGACGGCGCCGCACUACGUAGGGGACAAUGCGGCCGCCUAAGUUACCACCGAGGCCCACGCCCGCUGUACUUCCCCAACUAUAGGGUCCCUCCGGCGUACCGCUGCGAACGGUCGGUGCCGACGGAAGAGGCUGCGCCAUACGCGUCAGGUGUCUGUCCUAGUUGGGGCUUCGCGACCCAACCUGUAUCUC